AGUUUGAUCCUGGCUCAGGACGAACGCUGGCGGCGUGCCUAAUACAUGCAAGUCGAACGCUUUUUCUUUCACCGGAGCUUGCUCCACCGAAAGAAAAGGAGUGGCGAACGGGUGAGUAACACGUGGGUAACCUGCCCAUCAGAAGGGGAUAACACUUGGAAACAGGUGCUAAUACCGUAUAACAAUAGAAACCGCAUGRUUUCUAUUUGAAAGGCGCUUUUGCGUCACUGAUGGAUGGACCCGCGGUGCAUUAGCUAGUUGGUGAGGUAACGGCUCACCAAGGCAACGAUGCAUAGCCGACCUGAGAGGGUGAUCGGCCACAUUGGGACUGAGACACGGCCCAAACUCCUACGGGAGGCAGCAGUAGGGAAUCUUCGGCAAUGGACGRAAGUCUGACCGAGCAACGCCGCGUGAGUGAAGAAGGUUUUCGGAUCGUAAAACUCUGUUGUUAGAGAAGAACAAGGAUGAGAGUAAAAURUUCAUCCCUUGACGGUAUCURACCAGAAAGCCACGGCUAACUACGUGCCAGCAGCCGCGGUAAUACGUAGGUGGCAAGCGUUGUCCGGAUUUAUUGGGCGUAAAGCGAGCGCAGGCGGUUUCUUAAGUCUGAUGUGAAAGCCYCCGGCUCAACCGGGGAGGGUCAUUGGAAACUGGGAAACUUGAGUGCAGAAGAGGAGAGUGGAAUUCCAUGUGUAGCGGUGAAAUGCGUAGAUAUAUGGAGGAACACCAGUGGCGAAGGCGGCUCUCUGGUCUGUAACUGACGCUGAGGCUCGAAAGCGUGGGGAGCAAACAGGAUUAGAUACCCUGGUAGUCC
rnacentral:rRNA from 1 species